GGCUUUCUGAAUCCGUGCUGAGAUUUCUUCAGGAACCAACCAACAUUAAUGAGACUCACAAGAUAAGUGUAGUA
rnacentral:pre_miRNA from 1 species